CUACGGGCGGCUGCAGUGAGGAAUAUUGCACAAUGGGGGGAACCCUGAUGCAGCAACGCCGUGUGGAGGAUGACGCAUUUCGGUGUGUAAACUCCUUUUAUAUGUCAAGAAAAUGACGGUAGCAUAUGAAUAAGCACCGGCUAACUCCGUGCCAGCAGCCGCGGUAAUACGGAGGGUGCAAGCGGUUACUCGGAAUCACUGGGCGUAAAGGACGCGUAGGCGGGUUGGAAAGUCAGGUGUGAAAUCCUACAGCUUAACUGUAGAACUGCACUUGAAACUUCUAAUCUAGAGUAUGGGAGGGGGAGAUGGAAUUAGUGGUGUAGGGGUAAAAUCCGUAGAUAUCACUAGGAAUACCUAAAGCGAAGGCGAUCUCCUGGAACAUUACUGACGCUAAGGCGUGAAAGCGUGGGGAGCAAACAGGAUUAGAUACCCGCGUAGUC
rnacentral:rRNA from 1 species